rnacentral:lncRNA from 1 species
CCAGGUGUCCCCAGGUGUGUCCCUGUUCCCCCAGGUGUGUUCCCUGUUCCCCCAGGUGUCCCCCAGGUGUCCCCAGGUAUCCCCAGGUGUGUCCCCAGGUGUCCCCCAGGUGUACCCAGGUGUCCCCCAGGUGUCCCCCAGGUAUCCCCAGGUGUCCCCAGGUGCCCCCCUCACCUGGGCGAUGUCAUCCUUGUAGAUGCCCCUCUUGAGGUGCACCCAGGUAUCCCCAGGUGUGUCCCCUGUUCCCCCAGGUGUGUUCCUGCUCCCCCAGGUGUCCCCCAGGUGUCCCCAGGUGUGUUUCCAGGUGUGUCCCUGUUCCCCCAGGUGUCCCCAGGUGUCCCCAGGUGUGCCCCCCUCACCUGGGCAAUGUCGUCCUUGUAGAUGCCCCUCUUGAGGUGCACCCAGGUGUGUCCCCAGCUGUGUCCCUGUUCCCCCAGGUAUCCCCAGGUGUGUCCCCAGGUGUGUCCCCAGGUGCCCCCCUCACCUGGGCGAUGUCGUCCUUGUAGAUGCCCCUCUUGAGGCGCACCCAGGCCUUGGGUUUCAGGUUGGUCACCUCCUUGACCACCUUGAGCACGUCGGUCAUCUCCUUGAUGGGCACCAUCUGCUGGUUCCAGUAGCCCAGGCGCAGGUUGCCCACGCCCUCGAUGGCCUGCUUGACGUGCGUCUGCUUGUAGGCCUCGACGUACAGGUACCCGCGCACGUGCUCAGGUGCGACCACCGACUUGAUCUGGAGAGGCUGGGGACACACAGGGACACGGGGGGACACAGGUGUGACACUGGAGUGACACUGGGGACAGGCCAGGAACAGCCCCGGUGUCCCUGUGUACAGCUGUGACCCCAUUGUCCCUGUGCACAGGUGUGUACAGGUGUGUACAGGUGUGCCUCGACGUACAGGUACCCGCGCACGUGCUCAGGUGCCACCACGGAUUUGAUCUGCAGGGGCUGGGGACACAGAGAGGUACCGGUGUGACACAGGUGUGACACAGGUGUGACACAGGGAACAGCCCAGUGCAGCCCCAGUGUCCCUGUGUACAGGUGUGACCCCAUUGUCCCCGUGUACAGGUGUGUACAGGUGUGUACAGAUGUGCACAGGUGUGUACAGGUACCCGCGCACGUGCUCAGGUGCGACCACGGAUUUGAUCUGGAGAGGCUGGGGACACAGAGAGGCACAGGUGUGACACUGGGAACAGUCUAAUGCAGCCCCGGUGUCCCUGCGUACAGCUAUGACCCCAUUGUCCCUGUGCACAGGUGUGUACAGGUGUGCCUCGAUGUACAGGUGCCACCACGGAUUUGAUCUGCAGGGGCUGGGGACACGCAGGAACACAGGUGUGACACAGGUGUGACACAGGUGUGACACAGGUGUGACACAGGUGUGACACAGGGGACAGG